rnacentral:rRNA from 1 species
CACCAUUUUUAGUUAUUCAGCCUGUAUACCUCCGUCGUCAGCUUACCACGUGAGCGCCAAUUAGUGAAGGUGAUGUUUAUUCACCAACACGUCAGGUCAAGGUGCAGCAAAUGAAAUGGAAAGAGAUGGGCUACACUUUCUAAAUUAGAAGAAACGAAAAACUAUUUAUGAAACCUAGUUAGAAGGCGGAUUUAGCAGAAAAAAGGAAUCAGCACAUCCAUUUUAACCCGGCACUGGGGUGUGUACACACCGCCCGUCACCCUCUUCAAAGCUAUCAGCCUAGUCCUUAACAAACUAAAGUACGAUUGAAGAGGCAAGUCGUAACAUGGUAAGUAUACCGGAAGGUGUGCUUGGAAA